AAAAAAUUUGUGCAUUUAAAAAGGGGAAACAAUGUUAUUAUAGUAUCCAUGGUUGGGAAAUCCCCAAAUCCUUGACUGGACUAUAAAAUGAAUACUCAAAAGAAAGAUGUAAAGCUCUAUCAAUCAUCAUCAAUAGAUAUAUUAAAAGUAGAACUUUACUGUGGCCACUGUGUCGCCUCCUCAGUGUGGAAAUCACGCCAAAUACUAUACAUGAAUGAGAAUCCAAAUCUCCAACUGGACUAUAAAAUGAAUGGUCCAAAGAAAGAUGUAAAGCUCUAUAUAAAAUGAUUCUAUGGAAAAUAACGCCAAAUAGUAUACAUGAAUAAGGAUUGACUGUUGCAUGUAGCAGUUUUGCUUAAAUGUUUGAUGCAAUGCCUACUUGGUUACUACUACAAACUGCAUAAAUGUGCGUCAACUCUUAGUGCGGCUGCCACCAUAAUGCGCGUCAAAAUUAUCUAAUGCUUUACUUGUGUUUACUUUGAUAAAAACUAACAGAGGAUUGAUGGCCUGUUAUGCAGCGAAAAAAAUGACAGAGGAUAGACAAUAACAGAGAUGAGAGUACAAAAUAUAUCUAUACCACAAGUUUAGUUAGGACUUGGAUCAUUAUUAAUAUAUCCACCUAAAAGUGCAAAUUCUGAUGGAUCAUCUACAUGCUUACAUGAAAAUGAAACGAAAUCAACAUAACAUAAUAAUAAAUAAUUAAAAGGUUAUUGACAUAUCCAAGUAUAACAUAAUUAACCAUCUAAUUAAACACCAGUGUUUUUGUAAUCAUCUAUAUUUCCAUAAAUGCACUCAUUAUGCACCACUAUAGAGUACAAUCUUCAUAACCUUGUAACCAUAGCCGAAUACGCAUAGCCACAGUUCCCCUAGAAAUAAGGACAUGAGUAGUAGCCACGAAGUAUAAGAACAAUAGGAAGUGGUUGCCUAUGAGCAGGCCGUCCAAACUUCCGCUUGCUCCAAGCCAAUAUUUUUCACACUUUCACCUACUCAUCAUCAUCGCCUCAAAGAAGAGCUAGAAAAUGGACAGAAACACCAAGGAAUCGAAAAACCAAGUUUCAAAUAUUGCAAGAUACCAUGAAGCUUUUUGGGAGAUGCCAAUCUGCGAAACAUCUAUA
rnacentral:lncRNA from 1 species